GACGAACGCUGGCGGCGCGCUUAACACAUGCAAGUCGAACGGAAAGGCCUGCUUUCCCUUGUGGAUUGCGGGUACUCGAGUGGCGAACGGGUGAGUAAAACGUGAGUGAUCUGCCCCCAACUUGGGUAUAAGCCUGGGAAACUGGGUCUAAUUCCCGAUAGGACUGCAGGGUGGUGCCUGUGGUGGAAAACGAUUUUCUAGUGGUGGGGGAUGAGCUCGCGGCCUAUCAGCUUGUUGGUGGGGUAAUGGCCUACCAAGGCGGCGACGGGUAGCCGGCCUGGGAGGGUGGACGGCCACAUUGGGACUGAGAUACGGCCCAGACUCCUACGGGAGGCAGCAGUGGGGAAUAUUGCACAAUGGGCGGAAGCCUGAUGCAGCGACGCCGCGUGGGGGAUGACGGCCUUCGGGUUGUAAACUCCUUUCGACCGCGAGGAAGCCACCUGGUUGGAAGGGUGGUGACGGUAGUGGUAGAAGAAGCACCGGCUAACUACGUG
rnacentral:rRNA from 1 species